GAUGAAGAACGCAGCGAAAUGCGAUAAGUAAUGUGAAUUGCAGAAUUCAGUGAAUCAUCGAAUCUUUGAACGCACAUUGCGCCCGCCAGUAUUCUGGCGGGCAUGCCUGUUCGAGCGUCAUUUCAACCCUCAAGACCCCUUCGGGACUUGGUGUUGGGGACCGGCACAGGGGCCUGCCUGCUUGUCUUGCAGCGCCCUCGCCGCCCCCGAAAUGAAUUGGCGGCCUCGUCGCGGCCUCCCCUGCGUAGUAGCACAACCUCGCAACGGGAACGUGACGGCGGCCACUGCCGUAAAACAACCCCAAUUUUAUUAGAGUUGACCUCGAAUCAGGUAGGAAUACCCGCUGAACUUAAGCAUAUCAAUAAGCGGAGGA
rnacentral:misc_RNA from 1 species